rnacentral:rRNA from 1 species
UUCUUUAUCACCGAGUGCUUGCACUCACCGAUAAAGAGUUGAGUGGCGAACGGGUGAGUAACACGUGGGCAACCUGCCCAAAAGAGGGGGAUAACACUUGGAAACAGGUGCUAAUACCGCAUAACCAUAGUUACCGCAUGGUAACUAUGUAAAAGGUGGCUAUGCUACCGCUUUUGGAUGGGCCCGCGGCGCAUUAGCUAGUUGGUGGGGUAAAGGCUUACCAAGGCAAUGAUGCGUAGCCGAACUGAGAGGUUGAUCGGCCACAUUGGGACUGAGACACGGCCCAAACUCCUACGGGAGGCAGCAGUAGGGAAUCUUCCACAAUGGGCGAAAGCCUGAUGGAGCAACGCCGCGUGGGUGAAGAAGGUCUUCGGAUCGUAAAACCCUGUUGUUAGAGAAGAAAGUGCGUGAGAGUAACUGUUCACGUUUCGACGGUAUCUAACCAGAAAGCCACGGCUAACUACGUGCCAGCAGCCGCGGUAAUACGUAGGUGGCAAGCGUUAUCCGGAUUUAUUGGGCGUAAAGGGAACGCAGGCGGUCUUUUAAGUCUGAUGUGAAAGCCUUCGGCAUAACCGGAGUAGUGCAUUGGAAACUGGGAGACUUGAGUGCAGAAGAGGAGAGUGGAACUCCAUGUGUAGCGGUGAAAUGCGUAGAUAUAUGGAAGAACACCAGUGGCGAAAGCGGCUCUCUGGUCUGUAACUGACGCUGAGGUUCGAAAGCGUGGGUAGCAAACAGGAUUAGAUACCCUGGUAGUCCACGCCGUAAACGAUGAAUGCUAAGUGUUG